rnacentral:rRNA from 1 species
UACGUAGGGGGCUAGCGUUGUCCGGAUUUAUUGGGCGUAAAGAGCGCGUAGGCGGCCGAGUAAGUCCGACGUGAAAUCUGGAGGCUCAACCUCCAGCGGUCGUUGGAAACUACUCGGCUAGAGUCCGGAAGAGGAGAGUGGAAUUCCUGGUGUAGCGGUGAAAUGCGUAGAUAUCUGGAGGAACACCGGUGGCGAAGGCGGCAUCCUGGACCAAUAUUGACGCUGAGGAGCGAAAGCCAGGGGAGCAAACGGG